rnacentral:lncRNA from 1 species
UGUCUGCACACUAUAGUGAUUGGUCGUAUCACUCACAGGAGGCGGGAGAUGAGUCAACGAAAUCAAAACAAAUGCACAUUUUCAAGAAAUCUGUUGCCAAAGUCUGGCUAAACGCUAAAAACACGAGUUUUUACACAUACACAGUGUAUGUUUAGUUCUGAAGAAGGCUAAACAGCGUCUUUUAGCUUUAGCUUUUAGCUAAGCUAGCGCGCAGCAUGCUAAACCGUUUAGCUACAACUGCUUUGGGACAGUUGUGCUUCUGUAAAGUUGCUGGGUGGCACCGCGAACCGACGCCGAACUUCAGAACACUGGACCGAGGAUCACACAGGGCCCACGUGGACCCGGAAGGCGAACUGCGCGUUAUUAAACCAAGUGGGGCCGCACAGGACGUUUGUUUCCCGGCUAUUGCUUCCGUCGCCAUUGAAACCUUAAGUGUCUCUCAUGUACAUGUCCUCAGUCAACCUCGACCGUCGGCACGGAGGAGGCGCACACGCUGACACCACGCCAGAAAGAGCAGCGAGCGACGUCUGGCAGACCAUCGAUCAGUCUGGCGGAACGUUCUCAACGCUUUUAUUGUUUGUAUUUUGAAUGCACCGCUCAUUUGAAUGGCUCCGCUUUUGUUCCCGAAUCGUAUGAGACACUGACAAGAAAAGCAAAGUGUGUCACUCCUAAUUUGUGCAAUCUUCAGAUGGCUCUGAUUUUUAUUUUUUUCUUACCUCUCUUUGGCCCAAUACUGCACUCUGGCUAAUGUCUAAUGAAGGUGAAAUAAUGCAUGAGGCUGGUGGAGGGGGAUCCUCUCUGUCUCAUUAUAUAAUAUUAAGAGACAAGAAGCACGGAGGGAGAUUUUUCUCCUUGUAUCACUCUCAUUUUACUGAUGUCCUUGUAACCGACGAGAGGUUUUCACAUGGGCCAAUUACUGUAGCUUCAGAUACCACACAGCAUUUAGAUAGGAUCAUAUAAGACACCAGGAUAAAAGCUGUGCGAAUAUGCAUUAAAAAAAAUACACAAAGCAACUUGUCACUCUCUCCCAAACAUGUCUAUUUUGUAUUUGGUAUAUGAUUUUCCAAUGUAAUAUCAUGCUAUCCAUGCAUUACACCUCUAUUAUGGGCCGGUAAUCGUUUCUCCGAUGAAUAGCAGCUAAUCAAAACAGAUUGCCUUCACUCAACCUUGACACGCCUUUCACCUGCGCUCUCGCUCGUUCUCACACUCGCACACAGAUGCUCCGUUGGAUGGCACACGCAGGCUGCACGAGUGCAUGCUAGAAAAAGCCAGGAUGAUAGAGAGGCCGAGUCUGGGGCUGCGUCGGAGACUCACGGAAGCCAUUUGCAUGUGUUUGCGGAACAGGUAGUGCUGGAAGCUAAUUACUACAAAUUGGCAUGGUGCGUUCAAUGGCACGCCGAACAAUAACUUGCUAGCCAGCAACAGUAGCCCAGAGCUAGUCGGUCUUACCUGCCAGCCAACUUCAGAUUAGCUCUGGAAACUCGGUGGAACUUCUCA